rnacentral:lncRNA from 1 species
ACACCAGCUCCAUCACAAACAAUGCCCAGACCAACAAGAUCAGCACCAAACGCAUAGGGCACAGAAAUCGGAAACGGAUCUUCCUAUAUCUAAAGGGGGCGGGGAACGCUCCCCACGAUCACCCCCUCCCCAUACUGAGGUAGCUUGGGACUGUGUCUCUACGUAAUUGGUGCUAGAUCACUUAAAUUACAACACUGGCUGAAAAUCCUUCCUACACUAAUGAAGAUUUGGACAAUCCCUAUGGUGUCUCCUUCAGGUUUGGCUGAGGGAAGACCAGAAGGGAGUAGGAAUUUAAAGUGCUCGUCUUUCAUAUUCAAGAAAGGAAAAUACUUUUUUAGCUCAAGUCCGGAGUCGUGAACAAAUAACCACCAUUAUUUAGAGAUAACUUCUCGUCGGUGCAGCAGCUCUGAAAAUCAGCCAAUCAGCGAUAGCCUCACUCCGGUAACUAUGCUUCUUAGUAAAUCAAUGACAACCCCACGCUUCUGAAAGUCAGCCAAUCAGUGACCGCUCUAAGCCUCCGACAAUAGCCAAUCAACAAGUGCCUGACACCAGCGACCAGGCUUCCGAAAGUCAGUGGGUACUCAGCUGCCGCACUCCACUUCUGAUUCGGAAAGACAGCCAAUCCCUGAAGGCGAAUAUUUCCAAAACCAUUUUUUUUUCUUUCCCAGACUGAGUCUCAUUCUGUCGCCCAGGCUGGAGUGCAGUGGCGCGAUCUCGGCUCACUGCAACCUCUGCCUCCCGGUUCAAGCGAUUCUCCUACCUCAGCCUACCGAGUAGCUGGGAUUACAGGCUCCCGCCACCACGCCUGGCUCAUUUUUGUAUUUUUAGUAGAGACGGGUUUUGCCAUGUUGGCCAGACUGGUCUCAAACUCCUGACCUCAGUUGAUCCGCCUGCCUUGGCCUCCCAAAGUGCUGGGAUUACAGGCCUGAGCCAUCGCGCCCGGCCUUUUUUUUCUUUUUCUCCUUUUUUUUUGGAGACAGAGUCGCACUCUGUUGCUCAGGCUGGAGUGCAGUGGCGUGAUCUCAGAUCACUGCAACCUCUGCCUCCUGGUUCAAGCGAUUCUUGUGCCUCAGCUUCCCAAGUAGCUGGGAUUACAGGCCUGUGCCACCAAGCCUGGCUAAUUUUUUGUAUUUUUAGUAGAGACAGAGUUUCGCCAUGUUGGCCAGGCUGGUCUUGAACUCCUGGCCUCAAGUGAAUCGCCAGCCUUGGCCUCCCAAAGUGCUGGUAUUACAGGCGUGAGCCGCGCCCGGCCUUCAAAACCUUUUAUAAGAUCAGCUCUGGCUUUGUUCAGAGAGGCUGUACCUUACAAGUACCGCUCUCCCUUGCAAGCAGAGAAGAAAUUCACUUUUUUUUUGCAUCAGAUAUUGAGUUCAAUUUAUUGUUUUGUCCGAGUUCAAAGUUCACAGCUCAAGAUUCAAUUCCCAGUUACUAUUUGGUAUGAGUUUGGACUUAUGACAGACGCUAUGACACCGUCAUGAGAUUUAUCAAAUACAACUCUUUCAAUUCUUUCUAUGCUUGCAGUGAUCAAUUUUUUAGCUCAAGUCCAGAGUCAUGAACAAGUAACCACCAUUAUUUAGAGAUAACUUCCCAUCGGUGCAAAAGCUCUGAAAAUCAGCUCUAAAAACAAUUCAACGGGGCUACACGUGGUGGUGCACGCCUGCAGUCCCAGCAAUUUGGGAGACUAAGACAAGUGGAUUUCUUGAGCCCAAGAGUUUGAGACCAGCCUGGGCAACGUGGCAAAACCUCAUCUCUCUGUCUCUCUCUCUCUAUAUAUAUAUAGUUUAUUUAUAAAAAUAUAUAUUUAUAUUAUAAUUUAUGUAUACAAAUAUAUUUCAUAUAUGCACACACACACAAAUUGGCCAGGCAUAGUGGCAUGUGUCUGUAGUCGCAGCUAUUCAGGAGACUGAGAUGGGAGGAUCGCUUGAGCCUGGGAGGUCUAGGAUGCAGUGAGUUAAGAUCAGGCCACUGCACUCCAGCAUGGGGGACUGAGUGAGACCCUGUCUCAAAAAAAAAAAAAAAAAUCAAUGAGUAUAGGCACAGAUUUGUGCAACCACCACCACAAUCAAUUUUAGAACAUUUUUAUCACUCCAACAGGAAAAUCCUGUACCUAUUAGCAGUCAUUCCUCCAUUUCUUCCCAACCACCCCAGCCCUAGGCAACCACUAACCUUUUAAUUUGCCUAUUCUGGACAUUUCAUGUUAUCAGCAUCAUUCAAUAUAUGGUUUUUCAUGACUGGCUUCUUCCAUUUAGCAUAAUGUUUAUAAGGUUCAUCCAUGUUGCAGCAUGUAUCAGAAUUUUGUUCCUUUUCAUGGUUGAAUAUUAUUACAUUGAAUGGAUAUACCACAUCUUGCUUAUCCAUUUAUCUGUUAAUGAACAGUCAGAUUGUUUCCACUGUUUUGCUAUGUUUUGUAGCUAAUGCUAUUAUUAACAUUUGUGUACAAGUUUUUUUGUGGACACACAGUUUGUUUCCUUGGCGAUCUAGGAGUGGGUUUCUGGAUCACAUGGUAACUCUACGUUUAACCUUUUGAGGAACUGCCAAACGGUUUUCCAAAGUGGCUGCACCAUUUAUAUUCUCACCAGCAUCAUAUGUGGGUUCUAAUUUUUCCAUAUCUUCCCUAAUACUCAUUAUCUUUUUCACUAUAGCCAUUUUAGAGGGUAUGAAGUGGUAUCUCAUUGUGGUUUUGGCUUAUAUUUCCUGAUAGCUAAUGAUGUCAAGCAUCUCUUCAUGUGCUUAUUAGCCAUUUGGACCUCCUCCUUUUUUUUUUUUUUUUUUUUUUUUUGAGACGGAGUUUCACUCUUGUUGCCCAGGCUGGAGUGCAAUGGCAUGAUCUCAGCUCAACGCAACCUCUGCCUCCCGGGUUCAAGCGAUUCUCCUGCCUCAGCCUCCCGAGUAGCUGGGAUUACAGGCAUGCGCCACCGCGCCCAGCUAAUUUUGUAUUUUUAGUAGAGACGGGGUUUCUCCAUGUUGGUCAGGCUGAUCUCAAACUCCCGACCUCAGGUGAUCUGCCCACCUCAGCCUCACAAAGUGCUGGGAUUACAGGCAUGAGCCGCCGUGCCUGGCCUAUACCUCUUCUUUGGAGGAAUGUCUGCUCGAAUUUUUUGACCAUUUUUACUUGGUUACUUGUCCUUUUAUUAUGUUGUGGUAGCUCUUUAUAUAGUCUAGAUAUAAGUACCUUAUCAGAAAUACAAUUUGCAAAAAUUUUAUCCCAUUCUGUGGGUUGUCUUUUCACAUUCUUGAUAUUGUUGUUUGAAACACAAAACUUUAAAAUUUUAAUGAUAUCCAGUUUAUCAAUUUUUUUCUUUUGUUGCUUGUGCUCUAUGUGUCAUAACUAGGAAACUAUUGCCUAAUCCAAAGUCAUGAAGACGUACCUCUUACAUUUUCUUCUAAGAGUUUAAUAAUUUUGGCUCUUACAUUUUAGAUCUUUGAUUAAUUCCAAAUUAAUUUUUCUAUAUGAUGUGAGGCAGGGAUCCAACUUGAUUCUUUUCCAUGUGGCUAUUCACUUGUCUCAGCACCAUUUGUUGAACAGACUAUUUUUUUCCCCAUUGAAUUGUCUUGGUACCCUUGUUGAAAAUCGAUUGUGUUAUCUAUUUCUUUAUUUGUGUAUAUGUGAAUCCACAAAUGCCAAAUUGCAAGAGUGAAUUUUAUGACAAAUUUUCUGAAGAGUGUACAUUUAUUAAAGGAGAGAAAAUCCAUUUGCAGCUCUUUAUGUGGUAUGCAAGUAUUUAUUCAAUAUUGAAAAUGGUGGAAAGACAGAUAUACAUCAGCACAUACUAACGGCUAAGCAUAAAAGAUGUGUGAUUUUUGUACCAAAGGAAUGGAUAAAAUGACAAAUUUUAAAGAUAAAUUCAGAUUGAGAAGAUAAUCACAGCAAAGUUGUAAUGGCCUCCCAUACUGUCUGUUGUCAUCAUUCAGCUCAAGUCACUCUUUGAACAUACCGCUACCAGUAGUAUUUUCUAAUGCCAAUAUUUCAAGCAAAUUUUCAAAUGCCAGGACAAAAUCUACUGCAAUAAUUUGAGAUGUAACGACUCCACUUACUACUGUUGCAGUGAUUAUCAAAGCUGUAAAU